UACGAAGGGGGCUAGCGUUGUUCGGAAUCACUGGGCGUAAAGCGCACGUAGGCGGAUGUGCCAGUCAGGGGUGAAAUCCCGGAGCUCAACUCCGGAACUGCCUCUGAUACAGCACGUCUUGAGUUCGAGAGAGGUGGGUGGAAAUUCCUAGUGUAGAGGUGAAAAUUCGUAGAUAUUAGGAAGAACACCGGUGGCGAAGGCGGCCCACUGGCUCG
rnacentral:rRNA from 1 species